rnacentral:sRNA from 1 species
AGAGCGCCAAAUUGUCAGCAAAAGUUAGUCAUCGUCCCGUGACAUGGCGCUGUGUAUUCCCCGCAAGAUUUAUAUACGUUUCGUAAAUACAUAAGCCUAGGUACAGUAUAUUUCGGGUACUCAACCAAUAGCCGAUCCCUCAGCUCCACGCUCUGCCCCGGGGUGAGUACAGACGGAAGUGAUUUCCCAACAAGAAAAUGUCAGUCAGUAUAUAGCCGUGUUAUACCCGUCAAUCAUAUUUAUUACCACCUGAAACAAGUGAGGCCCUCACACCGGUGCAAUGUCCAUUUCGAAGAGUUUGUUAUCUAUUAGCAUUGAAACAUUUACCAAGAAGUAACCGAAAGUGCCAUUGUCUAACCCAAAGCUUUAAUUCCUGUUUAACUCCUGGAUUAUUUUACCAAAGAUUUUACAAUCGAAUUGUUUCAACCUUUUGGAGCCUCAAUUACGUCAAAUAACGUUGAAGCAAUCAGAGUGUUUAUUUUCGACUUUUCGUUUGUCAAGGGCUGGACCCUUGCUGCAUAAGUGAAGAGAAUUUUUCCUUAAUGACAAAGGGAUUUAUUAUCCUAUAGACAUGUUUAAAUUAUUUUUGUUGUGUUUUUCACUAACUUUAUGGACUUGCGUUACGUGUUAUCCAACCGGUGCACCUUUGAACGGAUACGGGUGUCAUGGACAUGUCCGACACAACAGGGAGGGGAGUUUAACGGACAUUUACCCCCCACAAUACACGCAAUCCCCCUAUAAAAUUCUUGUGAAUACAACGCAUGUUCACAAAGGGGAUAUUGUUGAAGUUACCUUGUACGGACAAGGGAAGUUUGAUUUCUUCAAAGGAUUCAUUGUGCAGGCGUUCCCUGCCGAUGUAUUUGGAGACAACCCCCGACCGGAGGGGACAUGGAUGCUUCGGGGCAGGUCCUCGAAAACCAUGGGGUGUCACCAUAACGCGGACACAGUGACACACACCAAUAACCAGUUCAAGGCAAAUCUAACCAUGCUAUGGCAAGCGCCAGUAGAGAACCUUAAAGACUUCAGAAUACGAGCGACCAUUGUAAAAGAUGCCAAGACGCACUGGGAGGGAAUUAUGUCUCCAAUAAUUACCGUGGAGGCCCAUAAAGAUAUACCGAUUCCUCAGCCCAAUCCGCCAUCCAAUCCCAACCCCAACACAGUGACGUACAUCACCCCAUCGCCACCGUCAACCGACAACAAAGAAACGGAGAAGAAAGCUCUGCUGGACCAACUAGCGAAAGAGGUCGGUGCCGACAGCGCGUCAGAAUUGCUGGAGCUGCUGAAAGCCAAGGUUCAAGAGAAAGACGCAAAAGACCAAGGGAUUCCGGUAGUGACGGUUCCACCGGUCCAGAAGACAGACGAGAUCAAGAAAAUUGCUAACAACGACCCGGUGAAAGAACAGAAAGUCGAAAAAAUGCUGGAGGACACCAGUUUGCUGGGAAAAGUCAAAGGCUUGUUCGGUGGAGGAGGAUCAGGGAUACUUGGGAAAGUGUCCGGACUUCUUGGAGGGGGAGGGGGAAUCAAUGGGAUCAUGAAAUUCUUGCCAAUAAUGAUGGGUAUGAAAAAUUUAGGCGGUCUUGGCGGAAUGUUGGGAGGGGGUGGGGGUCCUAUGGGAUUACUGGGAGGGUUACUUGGCGGGGGAGGAGGGGGUGGUGGGGGAUUAGGUGGGUUAUUAGGAGGUGGGGGUGGUUCUUCAAAUCCUUUAGGUGGGUUGCUUGGAGGUGGUGGAGGAUCAUCGAAUCCCAUGGCAGGUUUACUUGGGGGUGGAGGAGGAGGUCCACUCGGUGGUCUUUUAGGUGGUGGUGGGGGAGGGAAUCCCCUGGGUGGAUUGUUAGGAGGAGGUGGAAGUGAUCCUCUCAGUGGUCUUUUAGGAGGCAUGGGAGGAGGACAACCUGGUGGUAUGGGAGGUAUGAUGGGAGGAGGAAGCAGUCCUGCAGGAGGCUUAGGAGGGAUGUUAGGAGCACUGGGUGGUACAGGAGGCUUGAGUGGACUUCUAGGCGGAGGGGCAGGAGCAGGAAACCUGGGCACAGCAUCAUCUCUGACACGGAAUUCAAACAGAAAUAAUGGAUUAGCUGCAAUGCUUGGUGUUGAUCCUGGAGCCACACCAAAUCAAGCACCAAGACCAGAACUGAUUGAAGGUACUCAAUCGAGAGCACAACCAAUUGAUCCACUGUCCUCCAUGAUUAAGAGUUUGAGUGGAAAUGGGGGUCUGUCUGGAAUUCUUGGAAACUUGGGAGGAGGAAACAGUGCUCCAAGACAGCCAUACAUGGGUGGACAGAUGGGGGGAUUUGGACAACCCCCUAUGGGAGGACAAAUGGGCUUUGGACAAAAUUCCCUUAUGGGAAAUAACAUGGGUGGACCCCAAUACAACCCAAAUCCCCAGUAUCAGAUGCAGCAACCCAAUUAUCAAUCCAAUCAAAUGGGCUUCCAACAGUCUCAAGGAAUGGGACAACAGAAUGGGAAUUUUGGUCAGUUUAACCCAAAUAGUGGUGUCAACCAGAAUCAGAAUAUGGGAUCUGGACAGAACUAUCCUCAAAACUUUCAAGGACAAAACUAUCCACAAAAUCAGAAUAAUUAUCAACAACAGCAAAACUUUCAACAAAAUCAAAAUGGUUUUCAAUCAAAUCCCAACAUGCAACAGAAUAACAACUUUGCUCAAGGGCAAAAUGGUGGCCAGUUCCCAAACAACAAUUUUAAUCCAAAUGCCGGAUCUGGUGCUAAUGGCUUUGGUCAAAAUAAUUUCAACCCAAAUCAAAAUAAUUUCAAUCAAAAUCAAAAUAACUUUGGACCAACUGCUCCAAGUGGUCAGAACCAGCAACAGUUUCCUAAUAACAACAACAUGGGGCUAAAUCCGAGUGUAGGACCAAACAUGAAUAAUGGAAACCAGCAACCUCCAUCUAACAACCAAUUUGGUGGGCAGCCAAUGGUCAAUCCAAACAUCAUGCCAUCAAAUCCCAACCCACAACCACAGCCCCCAGCUCCACAACCUAACCCCCAGCCUCCAGCCCAGCCCAACCCACCCCAACCACAACCACCCACAGAGGAUCUCAAUCUCAACAGCAUAUUCGGAGGUGGUGGUGACACUCCUGACCUGAGCAGCAUAUUUGCUGGGAUGGGUGGAGGAGCACCACCUGGAGGAAGUGGGCCAAGUGGCGGUGCAGGAGGAAUGCCUGAUCUGUCUGCAAUUUUAGAUGGCCCUGCAGGGGGUGACAUUUCUAAAAUGCUGGGAGGCAAGGGAAUAGACAUGAACCAGAUGGCAGGGAUGAUGAACAGUCCUCAAGGUCAACAGAUGAUGUCAAAGGUCAAGGACAUGAUGAGUGGUCCACAAGGUGGUCAGCUGAUGAAUGCUGCAAUGGGAAUGCUCCAGAAUGGAGGGUUGGACGGUGUUUUAUCAGGGCUAGGUGGGGGUGGGGGAGGAGGGGGACUAGGAGCUUUGGCAGGAUUACUGGGUAAAAAAUAAAAUAAAAAUUUUUAAAUCAUUAUUAAUACCAUAUCUAGUGCCAACCAAGUGCCAAUUCUGUGCUAAAAUUAUCAUCUCAGCAAAAAGAGUCUAAUAGAUGGUGUCCAGUACAUGUACUACCUUUAUCCACAUUUUCAAGUGCAUGAAAAAUUGUCAAAAUUUUAUGUACAAUUUACAAAU